AUGGUCCUUCCAAAAACAUAUCAAAUGAAUCAAGGUUUCCUAAUCUAGACAUUGUUCAAAGAAGUGUUCCAGACUCUUCUCAAGCUCGCUAUCAUACGAGAAGCUGAAGCUCCGCUUGGAAUUUCCAGCUCCAUCCAUGGUUGUGGGCGCCAUCUUUCCAUGGUGGGCUGAGUUCAUCCUUGAUGAGUUGAAGAUCCAUCUUCAUCUUCGUGUUCUUCAAUGUUGACGUUUGGUUCGGGCUGUUGUGUUAGGAGGCUCCAUCUUCUUUUUGGUGUAACUUGCUGGUAGCUAGGACCACUAGCUAAGUUACAUAUUUUCGUUGUCCUCUCUUUGGCAAUAAUGCUUGUGCUAUUAAAUUUGAGCUUGUGUAAUAUGAGACUUGUUUUAUGUUUAUCACUGUUGCGUGCCUGCUCUUCCCUCUUCCCAUGUUAUUUGUGAUCUGUAUCAUUGUAUAUUUAUUUUCCUCGUCCUAAUUCUGAGGUUAGGAA